GAGGGUAUAGCUCAGUGGUAGAGCACAUGCUUACCAUGCACGAGGUCCUGAGUUCAUUCCCCAGUACCUCCA
rnacentral:tRNA from 1 species